rnacentral:tRNA from 1 species
AAGGAUCGCCUGGCGGCGGCAGGAGGCGGUCUCGCAGAUCGCCAGCAAUGCGUUGAGCUUGGCGCGUUCGACCCGUUUGAUCUCCGC